CAGGACGAACGCUGGCGGCGUGCUUAACACAUGCAAGUCGAACGGUGACGGAGAGCUUGCUCUCCUGAUCAGUGGCGAACGGGUGAGUAACACGUGGCAACUGCCCCAGACUUCGGGAUAACGCUUCGAAAGAGGUGCUAAUACCGAAUACGAAACGCCGUGGGCAUCCACGGUGUUGGAAAGUUUUUCGGUCUGGGAUGGGCCCGCGGCCUAUCAGCUUGUUGGUGAGGUAAUGGCUCACCAAGGCGACGACGGGUAGCCGGCCUGAGAGGGCGACCGGCCACACUGGGACUGAGACACGGCCCAGACUCCUACGGGAGGCAGCAGUGGGAAUAUUGCGCAAUGGCGAAAGCCUGACGCAGCAACGCCGCGUGGGGGAUGAAGGCCUUCGGGUUGUAAACCUCUUUCAGCAGGGAAGAAGCGAAAGUGACGGUACCUGCAGAAGAAGCACCGGCUAACUACGUG
rnacentral:rRNA from 1 species